GAGUGAACUGAAUAUAGGGUAUCGUCCUUUCCAAAUCACUUGUGCUUUAAAUAAAUCCUCCAGUAAUCAACAACAUGCUUAGAAAAGAAGAUGGCUCUGUUGUCACUGACUGAACAAGCGUGUUGGGCAAGAUUCAGGGCUUUUUCCAUGCCAGAGAUGUGCAGCCAUUACACUAGGAGCUUGUCUUUAAUUCCUCAUUUCUAAUGGACAGAUGCUUAAUACAAGCUUCCUUAGGUUUCUUGAGUUGUCUGCAGGGUGAGCUCACAGCAGGGUGUAUGGAGAACGUCCAUGCUUAGCAUGGAGCCAAGUCAGGCUCAACCCAAGCACUCUUUCCAGGGCUUUAUUUUUCAAAUAGAAGUGGGCUCCAAGCAGAGCAAAGCUGAAGAAGAGUUGCUGUGACGAGCCUCAUGUUUCAAGGCAUGGAUCAGUCACUACGCUGAAUUCUUUGGUUUUUUGUAAGACUGUCUCAGCAAAAGCUAGAGUAAAGCCUCCACUAAAGAAACUUCAUUAAGAGGAGCAGUGUGCAGGGCCCUGCAUAGCAAAUCUCGGUCUGCUUCACCUCUGGACAGCAUAAAUCCAACAGAAUGGGGAGACUGCACAAAUCAGAGGCAGACAGUGAACCCAGCAAACCUCCCACUGACCACAUCAGGCCCCUGCACCCACCUGCACCCUCUGAAGCAUCAGCAGACCCCAGCACCACAUAACCAGAGCCCUGAUCACCUGCUGAAUACUGAUUACUGUGCAGGCAGGAAUGGCUUCCUCUUACAGCUACUUCUCCCCUAGCAGAAAGCACUUGUUAAUAAUUCAGCUUCAUGCCACACCAGGACUGGAGCUCUGAGGCUUUCUAUGCUAUAGCUGUAAAUAUAGGACGUGACUGCAGCUGCAUGUUCUCUCCUGCAAAGUCCUACAAUGAAAUGAAUCAGUGCCCUAGAAGGUAACGGAGACAUCUCGAGGUCACUGCUCAGUGGGGCUCCCUCCAUCUGGAUGAAGGGAGCCAGGGAAAGGCCCAGCCCCUGGUGAAAGCCUCUCCAACCCUGCAGCACCCAUUGACCCCACUUCAGGGCAACCAGUGCUUUGGGAACCAGCCAGCAGAGCAUAACAGUAACAAACACCAAGGCAGGAGGAGCAGGCAGGGGAACAGGCACUCCCAGAGCUCGCUCAGAGGUUUUGCACCUACCCAUUUCAAGCAAGUUUUUUUUUCCCCUGUGUCCUUUGGUUACUAGCGAGCGGAGGCAGAGUGGACUUCUGUCCAUUCCUCUGGAUGUACACAGAAUAAAACAAGGGCACGCACUGCUAGCAAAUCACAGCACAAAGCCCUCUGGAGAGAAAGGGUUAAGAACUACUGAGGUGAAAAAAGGGAGAGCAUUACAUCCACCCACGGGCUGGAUGGAACCCCAGGACGGGGGACCUGCACCCCGCCAUCCGCAGGGACCCUUCGCUUGUUGCUAGGCAGCAGCACACCACAUCACAGCGGGUGAUGUUGCCACGGCGACUGGGUGUGAUCCUGCUGCUUGUGAUGCUGUGACAGCCAGAGGACACGUAGGGAAACGCAUUGGUGACGUCCGAGGCGGCGAGUGGUGGGGGCUGCAGGCUCGGCUCACUGCCAGGACGCGUCCCUGGCAUCACCACUUCAUCCCCUUAUUUCCUCUCCUGCUCACUGCUGCUUUUCAGAAAAAGAAAAAAAAAAAAAUCACCCUGGAGAUCUCCCAGCCCAAGGCAGCCUGUUGUCCAUGCCACCCACGGUGAGAUUCUGUAGCUGCUAGUGGGGAAGAAGAGAUGAACGUUUCAUUUUCCUGGUAAAAAGAGCCCCCUGCGUGCAGCCCAUUGCCCUCUGCAUGGUGCACAGCUCAUCUCCCAUCCUUGGAGCUUCGUGGUGCCCAGAUGGAGACGCAGACCCUGGCCCCGUGAGGCAUCUCCAGAGCUCAGCCACCCUGCCCUCACCCCACAGGCAGUGCAUCAGCUGGAAUGAGUGUCCAGAGCACCAUCUAGGUAGCACCUGGGUACAGCUGUUGAUCACCUGGUAGUCAGCUACACACUGUUCUUCCUUGUGCAUCAGCCAAGCCCAGCUCACAUCCUGCCUUCACCUCCAGCAAGUAGUUCUGGAGCAGACCUCAAGGGUUUCAGCAAGGCUUUGUGCCUUGACAGAUAAGCAGCAUCAUUGAGCUGUGAAUAUCUGAAAGCAGGAAUCCAACGUGGAGCUGAAAUUGAACUUGAUACAUGAUGAGGAAAUAAAAAUCUGAAUGAAUCCUUUC